GCACCUUCUUCGUGUGACAUUGUAGACUCUACUCCCUAAAGCAGAUUGGAGGUUAUGAAUAAUAUUCGUAGCCUGUGAAAUGGCAUUCUAGGAAGGUUGACAAUAUAAAAAGAGAGCAGACAACUUUAUAUAGUUGUGGUAAUGGGGUUGAGGUAGUAUCUCUCUUUCAAUCAGUUAUACCAUAGAUUAUGGUAAUAUUUUCUGAGGAGAAACAGAAGAGUACCAUUAAUAUAACUAUAUGUAGAAUGAUGUGUCAAAU
rnacentral:misc_RNA from 1 species